CAGGGAGCCUGCAGUCUGCACCUUGAGAAUGAUUUGUUUAGCCUGCUGGUUAUAACCCUGCACCAAGGCUCCAGCUCCAACUUCUGCCAGACAGAUCAAGGGUCUGUUGUACCUUGCGAGAGAACAGGAUCACCAGUCAGAGCCUUCGAGAUCUUUCAGCUGCUGAGAUUAGGCUGCAGGCAUGGUGGCACACACCUGUAAUCCCAACACUCAGAGG